rnacentral:ncRNA from 1 species
AGGGAGAAGCGACUGUUUACUAAAAAACACAGGUCCGUGCGAAGUCGCAAGACGAUGUAUACGGACUGACGCCUGCCCGGUGCUGGAAGGUUAAGAGGACGGGUCAGCCGCGAGGCGAAGCUCAGAAUUUAAGCCCCAGUAAACGGCGGUGGUAACUAUAACCAUCCUAAGGUAGCGAAAUUCCUUGUCGGGUAAGUUCCGACCUGCACGAAUGGCGUAACGACUUCUCCGCUGUCUCGACCGCGAACUCGGCGAAAAUUGCACUACGAGUAAAGAUGCUCGUUUCGCGCAGCAGGACGGAAAGACCCCGGGGACCUUUACUAUAGCUUGGUAUUGGUGUUCGGUACGGCUUGUGUAGGAUAGGUGGGAGACCGUGAAGCCGCCACGCCAGUGGUGGUGGAGUCGCCGUUGAAAUACCACUCUGGUCGUACUGCACAUCUAACCUCGGUCCGUGAUCCGGACCAGGGACAGUGCCUGGUGGGUAGUUUAACUGGGGCGGUUGCCUCCCAAAAUGUAACGGAGGCGCUCAAAGGUUCCCUCAGCCUGGUUGGCAAUCAGGUGUCGAGUGCAAGUGCACAAGGGAGCUUGACUGUGAGACUGACAGGUCGAGCAGGGACGAAGGUCGGAACUAGUGAUCCGGCGGUGGCUUGUGGAAGCGCCGUC